GUUAGGUUACCUGCAGUUUUCUUAGGAGGGAAGUAUGUUGGUGGGGCCGAGGAGAUCAAGGAGAUGAAUGAGAGUGGUGAGUUGAGUAAGCUGAUUGGUGGGUUACCUGCAUUUUUCUUAGGAGGGAAGUAUGUUGGUGGGGCCGAGGAGAUCAAGGAGAUGAAUGAGAGUGGUGAGUUGAGUAAGCUGAUUGGUGGGUUACCAAUAGCGUCUGUGAUGUUUGUGGAGGGCUGAGAUAUGUUCUUUGUGCACAGUGCAAUGGCAGCCAUAAGAUCUACUCUGAGAAGCAUGGGUUUAGGACCUGCACAUCGUGCAAUGUAAACGGUCUCAUUAAGUGCGGCCUAUGUUAUCCCGUGCAAUGUAAACGGUCUGAUUAAGUGCGGCAUAUGUUAUCC